rnacentral:rRNA from 1 species
UUUAACGCUGGCGGCAGUCCUAACACAUGCAAGUCGAGCGGAUGAAGGGAGCUUGCUCCUGGAUUCAGCUGCGGACGGGUCAGUAAUGCCUAGGAAUCUGCCCGGUAGUGUGGGAUAACGUUCGCUUACGGGCGCUAAUACCGCAUCCGUCCUGAGGGAGAAAGUGGGUGAUCUUCGGACCUCACGCUAUCAGAUUAGCCUAGGUCGGAUUAGCUAGUUGGUGGGGUAAAGGCCUACCAAGGCGACGAUCCGUAACUGGCCUGAGAGGAUGAUCAGUCACACUGGAACUGAGACACGGUCCAGACUCCUACGGGAGGCAGCAGUGGGGAAUAUUGGACAAUGGGCGAAAGCCUGAUGCAGCCAUGCCGCGUGUGUGAAGAAGGUCUUCGGAUUGUAAAGCACUGUAAGUUGGGAAGAAGAGAAGUAAGUUAAAACCUUGAUGUUUUGACGUUACCAACAGAAUAAGCAACGGCUAACUUCGUG